GUGUGGUCUUUCUGUUCAGCCUUUGUCUGGUCAUUGUUUGAGUUACCCCCUGACAUCUUGUUUCCUCUGGAGUUUGGAUUUCUGUUGGGAUUAUCUUGUCUUUUUGGACUCUGCUACCAGCCACUUUGUCAGAGCACAUGUGCUAGUCUGGCACCUCCCCAGAGACCACUUUCCCAUGGGAGACCCUACCAGGAGCACCAGGAUCCAGACAACACUGCUUCAUAGGGACUCACAAACCUCUCCAACAUGAUAUGGUGAUAGUCCCCAGAGAGGAGGGGUGUUAAUCCCUUUCUUUUUAAUUACGUCUUUGACCAGUGAUGGAACAGUGGAUAAGACUGUUGGUUCCGAUCAUAUCUCACUGAUAGAGAAUUCUUUGUGUAUUGAUGAAUCUCGAUCAGAAGACAUAAAAUGAAUUGUGGUGUCUCAAAGGGCUCAAUCUGAGGCCUAACCCUUCUUAAUUUGUACAUGCUGCCGCUUGGAGACGUCGUCAGGAGCCACGGCAUCAAUUUUCAGUUAUGCUGAUGACACCCAGCUAAACAUUGCCGUGUCCCCUGAUGACCCAGGACCAGUAGACGCUCUUUUUUUUUUUUUUCUUUUU